ACGAACGCUGGCGGCGCGCUUAAUGCAUGCAAGUCGGGCGGGACUCCGCAAGGGGUCCAGCGGCAGACGGCUGAGUAACGCGUGAGUUACCUGCCCCGGAAAGGGGAAUAACACCGAGAAAUCGGUGCUAAUGCCACGUACGCUCGGCGGCGUAAGGCCGUCGAGGAAAGGAGCCGGGGUAACCUGGCUCCGUUCUGGGAGGGGCUCGCGUCCUAUCAGGUAGUCGGCGGGGUAAUGGCCCACCGAGCCUAAGACGGGUAGCCGGAGUGAGAGCUUGUACGGCCAGAGGGGGACUGAGAUACGGCCCCCACUCCUACGGGAGGCAGCAGCAGGGAAUUUUGCCCAAUGGGCGCAAGCCUGAGGCAGCGACGCCGCGUGAGGGACGAAGGCCUUCGGGUCGUAAACCUCUUUUGUCAGGGAAGAGUAAGGACGGUACCUGGCGAAUAAGCAACGGCUAACUACGU
rnacentral:rRNA from 1 species